UACGUAGGCAGCAAGCGUUGUUCGGAAUUACUGGGCGUAAAGAGUGUGUAGGCGGUGCUCCAAGUCUGGUGUGAAAUCUCCCGGCUUAACUGGGAGGGUGCAUUAGAAACUGGAAUGCUAGAGGAUGGGAGAGGUAAGCGGAAUUCCUGGUGUAGCGGUGAAAUGCGUAGAUAUCAGGAGGAACACCAGUGGCGAAGGCGGCUCACUGGACUGGUAUUGACGCUGGAGGUGCGAAAAGCGUGGGGAGCAAACAGG
rnacentral:rRNA from 1 species